rnacentral:rRNA from 1 species
CAUUACCGAGUUUACAACUCCCAAACCCAAUGUGAACGUUACCAAACUGUUGCCUCGGCGGGGUCACGCCCCGGGUGCGUAAAAGCCCCGGAACCAGGCGCCCGCCGGAGGAACCAACCAAACUCUUUCUGUAGUCCCCUCGCGGACGUAUUUCUUACAGCUCUGAGCAAAAAUUCAAAAUGAAUCAAAACUUUCAACAACGGAUCUCUUGGUUCUGGCAUCGAUGAAGAACGCAGCGAAAUGCGAUAAGUAAUGUGAAUUGCAGAAUUCAGUGAAUCAUCGAAUCUUUGAACGCACAUUGCGCCCGCCAGUAUUCUGGCGGGCAUGCCUGUCCGAGCGUCAUUUCAACCCUCGAACCCCUCCGGGGGAUCGGCGUUGGGGAUCGGGACCCCUCACCGGGUGCCGGCCCUGAAAUACAGUGGCGGUCUCGCCGCAGCCUCUCCUGCGCAGUAGUUUGCACAACUCGCACCGGGAGCGCGGCGCGUCCACGUCCGUAAAACACCCAACUUCUGAAAUGUUGACCUCGGAUCAGGUAGGAAUACCCGCUGAACUUAA